CCAGAACAUUUCAGGGUGGAGAAACAGCAUUCUCAGACAUUUCCCUAGUGGCAAAUACAAUUCACCUAUUGCCAAAGUGCUUUAAUCUUCAUUCAAAAUUAAAACUUUUUGAGAUAAGAAAAAGUUGUGUGGAUCAUGGCCAAAAGGCAGGACUAAAUUGCAGCUCCAACUCAGUCAGACAGAGCAGCGCGUGGAGGCUUGCAUCACAGAUUUUAGCUCCAGAUCUACUGCAAGAACAAGCCAGGAAUCCCAAGAGGACCCACAGACCCUCAGAAGGAAGCAGACUGCUCCUGCAGGACCCGGGAGACACCCCAAAUACUGAUGAACUAAGAUUUAGGACAGGUUCCUACGAUGUACCUUGAUGUUGGAAAAGAAAACCAAACCCAGAUGCAGAGCACCCAGAAACAUGACAGCCUCUCUGAGGAAUAUUUAAGUAGACAUAUGAAGAGAGAAUGAAUCAUGCAGAUAACAGGUAGAAGGAAAGGCAAUUGUGAGAGACCUGAUGCCACCUCAUGAUUGAUGGAUUUGAGGAAAACAAGGAGGCUUUUGCUGGUGGGAAGUAGAAAAGCUUGCCUCACACAAAUAUGUAGUUAAAGAAGGACUACCCCCAGAAAUUCUCAGACUACACUUUCGAAUCCAAUGAUGUGAAAAAAAUUAAGCAGAAUUGAAGUGAGGAAUUAAAGGAUCAUAUUCAUUUAGAAGAGAAAAGAACAAAAGCAGAAGGAAAAGAAGAAGAAAAAAAGAACAAGAACAAAGGGAAAAAACUGAAAAAGAAGAGAAAAUAAAAAUGGUAAAAUAGAAGAUAAAAAAGAAUGAAGCAAACAGCAGGUAAAAAAGGUCUAUUUUAGCUGUUUUCACACAUAGAUCAGAAGAGAGAAAGCCUUAACUGCAACUACUUAGAAGCAGCCCAUCUAUCAUAUCCUGUCACUAUCUGGAGAGUGUUAAGAAGAAUAUUUCAGCAUGAAAUGCUAAUAUAACUAGUGUUGUAAUCUACAAAAGGUACAUGCUCUAAGAAAGCCAUAACUCUGAAGGGUUUUACCAUUAACAGGGAAGAAGAGAUAUUUAACAU